UAAUGGUGCGGUUACGGCUUCAUCAGCUAGGAUGUACGCUAUUAAGUCUCAAAGGAACUUAAUUCUCUCACUGGUUGAAAGGCCAGGUGUAAACACAUUAACAAUG
rnacentral:sRNA from 12 species